rnacentral:rRNA from 1 species
GACGAACGCUGGCGGCGUGCUUAACACAUGCAAGUCGAACGAUGAAGCACCAGCUUGCUGGUGUGGAUUAGUGGCGAACGGGUGAGUAACACGUGAGUAACCUGCCCCUCACUCUGGGAUAAGCCUGGGAAACUGGGUCUAAUACUGGAUACGACCGAUCUCCGCAUGGAGUGUUGGUGGAAAGUUUUUGUGGUGGGGGAUGGACUCGCGGCCUAUCAGCUUGUUGGUGGGGUGAUGGCCUACCAAGGCGACGACGGGUAGCCGGCCUGAGAGGGCGACCGGCCACACUGGGACUGAGACACGGCCCAGACUCCUACGGGAGGCAGCAGUGGGGAAUAUUGCACAAUGGGCGAAAGCCUGAUGCAGCGACGCCGCGUGAGGGAUGACGGCCUUCGGGUUGUAAACCUCUUUCACCAGGGACGAAGCUAACGUGACGGUACCUGGAGAAGAAGCACCGGCUAACUACGUG